rnacentral:rRNA from 1 species
UGGGGAAUUUUGCACAAUGGGGGAAACCCUGAUGCAGCGACGCCGCGUGAUUUAGAAGGCCUUCGGGUUGUAAAAAUCUUUUCUAUGGGAAGAAAAUGACAGUACCAUAGGAAUAAGGACCGGCUCAUUACGUGCCAGCAGCCGCGGUAAUACGUAAGGUCCGAGCGUUGUCCGGAAUCAUUGGGCGUAAAGGGUACGUAGGCGGGUAAGCAAGUUAGAAGUGAAAUCCUAUAGCUCAACUAUAGUAAGCUUUUAAAACUGCUCAUCUUGGGGUAUGGAAGGGAAAGUGGAAUUCCUAGUGUAGCGGUGAAAUGCGCAGAUAUUAGGAGGAAUACCGGUGGCGAAGGCGACUUUCUGGCCAUAACCUGACGCUGAGGUACGAAAGCGUGGGUAGCAAACAGG